UCCAGGUGGACCGACCAUGGACUGAUGGA
rnacentral:piRNA from 1 species